CACUGACAUCACACCAUGGCAACCAUUGGAUGAAGACCUCGUCUCCAGAGGACUCCUGUUAACACCAGACGUAUAAUGGGAGUGACACAGUGAUCUGCUGGCACUCUUGAAGACAUCAGCUUGGUCAAGAAUGUUGGCAGAGGCGCCUCAAGAAACACCUGCCUUCCACUCAUGAGCUGAAAUGUCAUUGCUGAAAGCGAGGCAGAUGAGUGGAAGUGGAAAGACCUGGGGCUGUGGGCGUCCUCGUGACCAGCCUGGCAAGGCCCACGCCUGCCCCAUGGAGACUCUGGGGCAGCCUUUGCAGAAGCAAACACUAUCAUCAGGUUUGCAUGAGUUCUGCUCCCUUGUUUUCUCUGCCUCUCGACUACCCACUUUAUUUCAGCCCUGCGGUGAAUUAUAUGUUUGGAGCAGAAGUAGGGGAGAACUCAGCCCCUUAGGAGUCAUGAGACUGUAAGAGGAUGCAUACUGCAGGGUACUUUUUCAGCUGAGAAACAGAAAACAUGGUCUGCUUUUUAAAUCUUACAAACAUACAGGUAAAGUCAACACGUACUUGUUGAUGUGGGGCUUUUGUAACCCAGCAACGUGUAGCAGCAAUCUGCCAGGAUACGCUGAAGCCCCAAUCCUGGGGAGCCACGCGCCAGCCAAGCGAAGAGCGGCUCCCUCUCCACGUCUCGACGUUAAUUCCUCCUUGGUGACACCUGCUUGGUAGAGUAAGGAAAAGGCCUGGAUUUUGCUAAUUUUAUUGUUUCUUAGUUACUAAACAGAAUGAGAUGUAGUCUCUGAAUAAGGGCCUGCCCCGGCUUUGCAGGAACUACAUGUGAAACCCAGGGCCCUGUGCUAAAAAAUGUCCAGCUUGUUUCUCAUCAAGUCACCUUACCUAUCUCAGCACCUGCACAGGCAACGGGACUGCCUGGACAUGCCCACCACUGUUAGGUCAGGUGUCCCUGAAAAGCUCCAUCAAAACACUUUGAAAGAGUGAACACAGCUUCCAAAACUCACACGCCGUUAUGAGCCAUGAGAGAAACUGCUUCCGUUUGACUAACGAGCAACGGCCCGUGCUCUUUUUGUUCCCAUUGCCAACAUUUGCCCCACCUGAGACCAUUCCUUUCCGUCCUGAGGCCAUGACAUCGGAUGUUAGACAAUGAGCAUGCUGAGACUGAGGAGAGCUAGUAGUGGCUGGCAUCAGCACGCUAUAUGCAAGGGACUAGAAAAAGCUGCUCUUCCAUGGAAGGGAAGGAGGUAGUCCCAGGAAACCUAUCCCUGAGGCCCAUGAGGCUGAUGGGACCACGCUGUGCCCCGGACUGGACAAGAGGUGUCCAGGGCUCUGGGCAUGGCCAGGCGUUCAGGCAAUUGCAUCUUUGGCCCAGGGAAGGCCCUUCGUCUCAUUCCCCAGAGGUACUUCUCCUCACCUAGAAAGCAAGGUGGCAUGACCAGCACUGAUACGCCUCCCAGUGUUGGAAGGACAAGACCCAGAGCCCCUGAAGCCUCCUCCAUCCCAAGCAGAAAACCAGAUGCUGCCAUGGAACCAACACCCAAGCACCAGGCCCAGAACAAGAAGCAGCAUGACCCAAGGGCUGGGCAGGGGCCAAGGCCAAGUGAGGGGACAAUAGGGAGCGGACCAGCAUCCAGCAUCCCUCGAGGAUGGGACCCUGAGGAACUGACGGGUUCCUGGUUGGGAGGUGACCAAGGAAGAGGAGUCCAGAGUGCAGACCUCUGAGGCCAGAGAGAGAGAGCUCCUUGAAGACUGAAGAUUCAGCUGUUUCCU
ensembl:lncRNA